ACGGAGGGUGCGAGCGUUGUCCGGAUUUAUUGGGUUUAAAGGGUGCGUAGGCGGCUUUUUAAGUCUGGGGUGAAAGCCCGCUGCUCAACAGCGGAACUGCCCUGGAUACUGGAGAGCUUGAGUACAGACGAGGUUGGCGGAAUGGACUGAGUAGCGGUGAAAUGCAUAGAUACAGUCCAGAACCCCGAUUGCGAAGGCAGCUGACUAGGCUGUUACUGACGCUGAGGCACGACAGCGUGGGGAGCGAACAGG
rnacentral:rRNA from 1 species